GGGCCUAUAGCUCAGCUGGUUAGAGCGCACGCCUGAGAAGCGUGAGGUCGAUGGUUCGAGUCCAUUUAGGCCCA
rnacentral:tRNA from 1 species